UACGGGGGGGGCAAGCGUUGUUCGGAAUUAUUGGGCGUAAAGAGCUCGUAGGUGGUUCGGUAAGUCGGAUGUGAAAUCUCCAGGCUCAACCUGGAGGGGUCAUUCGAUACUGCCGUGACUAGAGGUCGGUAGGGGAGUGUGGAAUUCCUGGUGGAGCGGUGAAAUGCGCAGAUAUCAGGAGGAACACCCGUAGCGAAGGCGGCACUCUGGGCCGAUACUGACACUGAGGAGCGAAAGCGUGGGGAGCGAACAGG
rnacentral:rRNA from 1 species